rnacentral:rRNA from 1 species
UGCGGAUUAUUCGAUGCAACGCGAAGAACCUUACCAAGGCUUGACAUGCACGGGAAAGUUCCAGAGAUGGUUCCCCCGCAAGGUCCGUGCACAGGUGGUGCAUGGUUGUCGUCAGCUCGUGUCGUGAGAUGUUGGGUUAAGUCCCGCAACGAGCGCAACCCUUGUCUUAUGUUGCCAGCACGUCAUGGUGGGGACUCAUAAAAGACUGCCGGGGUCAACU